rnacentral:rRNA from 1 species
AUUGAACGCUGGCGGCAGGCUUAACACAUGCAAGUCGAGCGGUAGCACCGUGCAGCUUGCUCCUUGGGUGAUGAGCGGCGGAUGGGUGAGUAAUGUCUGGGCUACUGUCUGCUGGAGGGGGAUAACUACUGGAAACGGUAGCUACUACCUCAUAACGUCUCAUGCCUAAAGAGGGGGACCAUCGUGCCUCUUGUCAGCAGAUGUUCCCAGGUGGGUUGAGCUUGUAGGUGGGGUAAUGGCUCACCUAGGCGACGAUGCCUAGCUGAUCUGAGAGUAUGGCCAGCCACACUGGAAGUGAGACAGGGACCAGACGCCUGCGGGAGGGAGCAGAGUGGAAUAGUGCGCAACAGGCGCAAACCUGAUGCAGCGGGGGCAAGUGUGAGGAAAAAACGUUGGGUGUGGAAAGCACGUUCAGCGAGGGGAAAGGUGGUGAGCUUGAUACGUACAUCGAUUGACGUUACUGGCAGAAGAAGCACCGGCUAACUACGUG